CCGGCCCCGGUUCACGUCCCGUCCGAAGGCGCGACGACCCGGUGCC
rfam:Actinopolymorpha singaporensis strain DSM 22024 genome assembly, chromosome: I